GAUGAACGCUGGCGGCGUGCCUAAUACAUGCAAGUCGAGCGAACGGACGAGAAGCUUGCUUCUCUGAUGUUAGCGGCGGACGGGUGAGUAACACGUGGAUAACCUACCUAUAAGACUGGGAUAACUUCGGGAAACCGGAGCUAAUACCGGAUAAUAUUUUGAACCGCAUGGUUCAAAAGUGAAAGACGGUCUUGCUGUCACAUAUAGAUGGAUCCGCGCUGCAUUAGCUAGUUGGUAAGGUAACGGCUUACCAAGGCAACGAUGCAUAGCCGACCUGAGAGGGUGAUCGGCCACACUGGAACUGAGACACGGUCCAGACUCCUACGGGAGGCAGCAGUAGGGAAUCUUCCGCAAAGGGCGAAAGCCUGACGGAGCCACGCCGCGUGAGUGAUGAAGGUCUUCGGAUCGUAAAACUCUGUUAUUAGGGAAGAACAUAUGUGUAAGUAACUGUGCACAUCUUGACGGUACCUAAUCAGAAAGCCACGGCUAACUACGUG
rnacentral:rRNA from 1 species